AAUAUUGGACAAUGGGCGAAAUCCUGAUUCAGCCAUCCCGCGUGUGUGAAGAAGGUCUCCGGACUGUAAAGCACUUUAUGGUGGGCGGAUGUGCAGUAGGUUACUAUCUUGUUGUUUUGACGGUUCCGACAGAAUAAGCUCCGGCUAACUUCGUGCCAGCAGCCGCGGUAAUACGAAGGGUGCAAGCGUUAAUCGGAAUUACGGUGCGUAAAGCGCGCGUAGGUAGUUUGUUAAGUUGGAAGUGAAAGCCCCGGGCUCAACCUGGGAACUGCUUUCAAAACUGGCAAGCUAGAGUAUGGCAGAGGGUGGUGGAAUUUCCUGUGUAGCGGUGAAAUGAGUAGAUAUAGGAAGGAACACCAGUGGCGAAGGCGAACACCUGGGCUAAUACUGACACUGAGGUGCGAAAGCGUGGGGAGCAAAC
rnacentral:rRNA from 1 species